GCAUCACCAUGGGCUCCUUUCAAGUCCAUCACAUCUCACCCAAAGUGUGCCACAACUUUGGAAUGUCUCAGCAGUCUCAGCAGUGUCAGCAGGACCACAGGUACUGCAUCUCCCAGCAGGAAUCCCUUCCCCUCUCCCUUGCUCUGCAGCAUCCCCGUGGCUGGCACGUGGCAGCCUGGCGUGCCCUGAGCCUGGCAAAUGAGCA
rnacentral:lncRNA from 12 species